UAGAUCAUGUACCAGGAAUAGAAAAAGCGUGUUAAUGGUGCUAUACUGGGAUCUGUCAUAGGAGUUUCCAUUUUAGGGAUCAUAAUUGGAGUUGCAGUUUUCAUAUUCUGGAAGAAGAGAAAGGCUAAUGAAGAUGAGGAGGAUUAUCUAGAUCAUGUACCAGGAAUGCCGACUAGAUUUUCUUAUGAUGAUCUAAAGUCUGCAACGGAGAACUUCACCAAGAAGCUUGGUCAAGGAGGAUUUGGGUCAGUUUUUGAAGGGUGCUUAGUGGAUGGCACAAAGAUUGCAG
rnacentral:misc_RNA from 1 species